UACGGAGGGGGCUAGCGUUGUUCGGAAUUACUGGGCGUAAAGCGCACGUAGGCGGCUUUGUAAGUUAGAGGUGAAAGCCCGGAGCUCAACUCCGGAAUAGCCUUUAAGACUGCAUCGCUAGAACGUUGGAGAGGUAAGUGGAAUUCCGAGUGUAGAGGUGAAAUUCGUAGAUAUUCGGAAGAACACCAGUGGCGAAGGCGACUUACUGGACAACUGUUGACGCUGAGGCGCGAAAGCGUGGGGAGCAAACAGG
rnacentral:rRNA from 1 species